CAGCAGCCGCGGUAAUACGUAGGUCCCGAGCGUUGUCCGGAUUUAUUGGGCGUAAAGCGAGCGCAGGCGGUUAGAUAAGUCUGCAGUUAAAGGCUGUGGCUUAACCAUAGUACGCUUUGGAAACUGUUUAACUUGAGUGCAAGAGGGGAGAGUGGAAUUCCAUGUGUAGCGGUGAAAUGCGUAGAUAUAUGGAGGAACACCGGUGGCGAAAGCGGCUCUCUGGCUUGUAACUGACGCUGAGGCUCGAAAGCGUGGGGAGCAAACAGGAUUAGAUACCCCGGUAGUCCCUGUCUCUUAUACA
rnacentral:rRNA from 1 species